rnacentral:lncRNA from 1 species
AACUACAACUAGGCUUCGGAUCCUGAUUCCUGAGUCCUGACGCCUGAAUCCCCUUUCCAUGCGCUUGCUUGCCCGAGCGAUAAAAGCACUGCAGCGCGGACAAGGACGUCUCACUCUCGCCCUCGCCCACCGACCCAUCAAAUUCCGGCCCGAGGAGAUCGCUCGAACGAACACUCGAACCAGGGAACGAGCAAACCAUGCGUCCGCCAGCGACGAGUUUUCACCUCAGCUGCCAGCUGACAACUGCCA